UUACAGGCUUGAGCCACCGCUCUCGGCCCUUUGUUUUGUCUUUACAUCUCUUUUUCAAAUUUGAAAUUAUUUCUCAUGAGAGAUUGUCCCUAACCAGAAUAUUAUUUCAAUUUCAAGUACUUUAUUCUUAUUUAUUUUUAUCUUUAUAAUUUACCUUCUAAGAUUUUUUUCAUGUUCUUAUUUUGCUACUAUAUAUAUUUACUUAGUUAUAUGUUAGAUAUAAUAUUAGCAAACAAGACUAAUAUCUAUUAUCAGGGAAAAUAGGUUUUCAACUUUAUAGUAUAUGACCUUUAGAAGUAAAAUGUUAAAUUUUUUUUUUUUUACUAUUUUACAAUGUUUCUUUUAAAACUAUUUCCUAUUUAUAUUCAUUUAGAUUUAAAAUCCUCCAAUAAGGAAAUAACUUAUUUUCUCUGCUGAAGAGUUGUAAAAUUCAAUUAUGCAUAAAGACAAACAUCAUCCUGAGUAAAGAAUCAUCCGUAAGAUUAGCGGAAUGAAUCUGCUGCAACAUUUACACUUCAUACUCUGAAAUUGAUUUUUAUGCAUUUUAAUGGAAGCAAUAUUUUGCAUUUGAGUACAUUACAUAGGAAAAUAAAAUGUCAAGGCUUAUUCCUCACAGAAUUCACAAUCUCCGUUUCUGUUUCUGUAUUUUUUUCUCUUUUUACUUAGAGGAAUUGUUAUGAGAUGAUCUAGUGGUCAGUUCAUUUCUCAUUCUUUUAGAACAAUAAUUUGCACAUUAAAGUCCUAAUACAAAUAAAUAUACCCUAUGUUCCCAUCUGUUAUUCUUACUCUAUUGAGACCUAGUAUAAGAGUAGAGCAGUAAAUGGAAUACAGUCUUACUUCUCAACCAUAUCUUUUUUUCAAAUGGCAAAAUAUGUAAAUAUUUCUCAUAUGUUUAAAUUUUUACUUUUAUUUGAAACCACUAAUGCCCAAAUAAUGCAUUGAUCUCAGUCAUGGGAAGAGGUGGUAAGAUAUGAUUAAUAUGUCUUUAUUGUAGCUUGCUGUGAUUUCAUGUAAAGAACAUGCCAUUUUAUGACUCUUACUAGUGUAAUGAAUAAGUAAAUUUUUAGCUUUAGAAUUAAUGCACAUACCCUGACAUUUUAUAUCUAAUUGAUCUGAAAGAAAUUCUAAAGAGAGUUAAACACUUUAAGUUCCCAAACAUGAAGAAUUUGAAUAAAGCAUGAAAGGAACAGAGAGCUAUUUGUUGUUUACUUUAUUCUUUGAGAAGCUAAAACUCAGAAUCUAAAGCACAGAAGAAAAUGUCCCAAUUUUCAAAAUCAAGAAAUCAAGAAUCAUGUUUACAUGGUUUUUUUAACUCACACUUUCUAUGAGCCAAGUGUUGUAUUUAAAGAUAUUUCAUUGAACAUAUUGGACACAGUUUCUUCCUGCAAAGAGUUAACAUUUGCAAAGCCGUUCCCUUAUUACUUCCUGGAUAUUUUUUCCUUCCUAUUUUAGUGUUAGAUUAUUUUAAGUGACUCUUGAUUCUUAUUUUUUUACUUGAAAAAUAUGGAAAAACAAAACAAAAACUACCAUUUAGUGACAAACUAUCUGGUUUCCAAAAACCUGAAAAAUUAAAAUAGUUUUUGUAUAAUAAUAAACCCAUGUAAGAAGUUAGUUAUGAUUUAAUGGAAAUGCUGCCUCUGUAUAUGUAAUGUAAAGAGGGGGCAAUGUAAUUUAUUGAUGAGGCAUGCAGGCUCUGGAUUUCAGAUUGACUGAGUUCUAAGCUCAGUUUUGCCACUCACAGGGCAAGCUGUUCAAGCACUACAAUAUAGGAGAGAGAGCAAUACCUAUGUCAUGAGAUUUUUAUGAGGAUUAAAUGAGAUAAUGUACAUAGGAGAUUUAGUAAAGCACCUCUCACUUCGUAAGCACUCACCAUUAUUAUGCAACAUUUCAACACUUUUUUAAUAAAAAGUAAUUUAAAACUAUUAGGGAAGAGUGAGACAGGAAGAGAAAGGGAGAGAGAGAGAGAAUGAGUAAAUAGGAUUAAUGAAAGAGUUGAGUUUAAAAAGUCUCUGAUAUUAGUACUUUGGGUAGAAAAAUUUUAUACUAGUCUUUUGCCAGAUGCAUAGUUACUAAAAAUUCUGUAGGUUGUCUGUUCAUUCUGUUAACAGUUUCUUUUGUUAUGCAGAAGCUCUUUUCAUUAAUUAUAUCCUAGUUUUUGCUUUUGUUGCAAUUGCUUUCAGUGUCUUCAUGAAAUCUUUGCCCGUGCCUAUGUCCUCAGUGGUAUUUAUGGUUUUACAUUUAAGUCUUUUUUAUUUUUUAAAAACAGUCUCACUCUUUCGCCAGGCUAGUGUGCAGUGGCGCGAUCUCCGCUCACUGCAACCUCUGCCUCCUGGGUUCAAGCAAUUCUUCUGCCUCAGCCUCCCGAGUAGCUGGGACUGCAGGUGCACACCACCACACCCAGCUAAUCUUUGUAUUUUUAGUAGAGAUGGGGUUUCACUCUGUUGACCAGGAUGGUCUCGAUCUCCCUGACGUCAUGAUCUGCCCUCCUCAGCCUCCCAAAGUGCUGGGAUUUCAGGUCUGAGCCACCACACCUGGCCUACAUUUAAGUCUUUAUCCAUCUUGAGUUAAUUUUUGUAUGUGGUGUAAGGUGGGGGUCCAGUUUCAAUCUUCCGCCUAUGGCUAGCCAGUUCUCCCAGCACCAUUUAUUGAAUAGGAAAUGCUUGUCUUGUUGCUUUUCUUGUUUUUAUCAGGUUUGUUGAAGUUCAGAUAGUUUUAAGUGUGUGGUUUUAUUUAUGGGUUCUCUAUUCUGUCCCACUGGUCUAUGUGUCUGAUUUUUUUUUUUUUUUUUUUUUUACCAGUACCAUGCUGUUUUGGUUACUGGAGCACUGUAGUAUAGUUUGAAGUAGGGUAGUGUGAUGCCUCCAGCUUUGUUCUUUUUGCUUCGGAUUGCCAUGGCCAAUCGGGCUCUUUUUGGUUCCAGAUGAAUUUUAGAAUCCUUUUUUCUAGUUCUGUGAAGAAUGUUAAUGAUAGUUUAAUGGGAAUAGCAUUGAAUCUAUAAAUUGCUUUGGGCAAUAUGGCCGUUUUACCAGUUGAUUCUUCCUAUCCAUGAGCAUGGAAUGUUUGUGUCAUCUCUUAUUUCUUUGAGCAGUGGUUUGUAGUUCUCCUUGCAGAGAUCUUUCACCUUUUGACUUAGCCAUAUUCCUAAGUAUUUUCGUCUUUUUUUGUGUGGUAGUUGUGAGUGGCAAAUUGUCUGUGACUUGGCUGUAAGUCUAAUAUCCUGCAUUUGUAAAGAACUUAAAGAAAUUUACAAGAAGACAACCCCAUAAAAAAUUAGGCAAAGGACAUGAAUAGACACUUUUCAAAAGAAGACAUACAUGUGGCCAAUAGAAAGAAAGCUCAACAUCACCAGUCAUUAGAGAAAUGCAAAUCAAAAACUACAAGGAGAUACCACCUAUCACCAGUCAGAAUGGCUACUAUUAAGAAGUAAAAAAUAAUAGAUGCUAGCGAGGUUGUGGAGAAAAAAGAAAUCAUAUUUAUACACUGCUAGUGAGAGUGUAAAUUAGUUCAUCCAUUGUGGAAGACACUGUGGUGAUUCUUCAAAGACCUAAAGACAAAAAUACCAUUCAACCCAGUAAUCUCAUUACUGGGUAUAUACUCAAAGGAAUAUAAAUCAUUCUAUUAUAAAGUCACAUGAAUGUGUAUGUUCAUUACAGCACUGUUCACAAUAGCAAAGACAUGGAAUCAAUCUAAAUGCCCAUCAGUGAUAGACUGGAUAAAGAAAACGUGGUACAUGUACACCAUGGAAUACAACGUAGCCAUAAAAAGGAAUGCAAUUAUGUUCUUUGCAAGGAUUUGGAUGGAGCUGGAGGCCAUUAUCCUUAGCAAACUAACACAGGAACAGAAAACUAAAUACCGCAUGUUCUCACUUAUAAGUGGGAGCUAAAUUAUGAGAACACAUGGGCACAUACAGGGGAACAACACACACUGGGGCCUCUCAGAGGGUGGAGGGUUAGAGGAGGGAGAGGAUCAGGAAUCACAAGUAAUGAGUACUAGGCUUAAUACCUCGGUGAUGAAAUAAUCUGUACAACAAACCCCUAUGACACAAGUUUACCUAUGUAAUAAAACUGUACCUGUAACCCUAAAAUUAAAAUGUUAAAAAAAGAGUAGCCACUAGAAGAUAAGCCACCUCCAAGGAAAAAAACACCUCCAAGGGAAAAAAAGGAAACAGAUGUACUUUUUACAAUAGAAUGUGUUGAUUCUUCUUGAAGAAUACUAGUGUCAGUAGGAUUUUAGCUAUUUUUAGUCUGCUAAGAAUUGGCAUGAAUAGACAUUAACAGGUUAAUGAAGUAUCUGAAAAUAAGUGAAUCCAGUUGCUGUUUAAUGUCCCAAACUCAAACUUUUAAUGCUUUAUAACAGUCUCAGUUCCUUUUAUAACUGCGAGGAAAUAGUUUCUUUCCCAGGGGCAUACUGCCUUUUAAAAAAAUGUCUAUUUUUAUUAACAUCCCUUUGUGGCCGUAACUACUAUUAGGAAGUUGGAGUAAAUUAUCUUACUGAUGACCUAUUUCUGUUUCUAAUAGUUCUUAAUCAAGAAUGAUAUGCAAUUGGGACACAAAUUUUCUUCCUUCAGACUUACUCCAAAUUCCCGUAUCCUGGUCCCCAAGGUGGAAUUGCGUGUCUAGAAUUCCCUUUAAAACUGUCAAUAGCCGAAUUUUCUUUUAUUACUCUCUGGCACUUUAAACAACUUUGGCAUCAUUUAAGAAUUUUGAUGUUUUAUUUUGAAGUUCCAAAAGUGGGAAAUAAAAGCAUGCGGAGGGUAGGAUUAACAAUACUUGACUGGACCAUCUAGAAGUGACUGAAGAAACUGGUUUUGUUUAUAUAGAGAGGAGAAACCCAAAGACUGAUUUAGUAACUAGCUAUAUAGAGGGCAGAACUAAAUUACUGCUUUAAUUUCCCUGGUGAAUUUGUAGAAUUUAACCACUUUAAAUAACAGUAUCCCCAUUUGCAAGAUGAAGAUAAUAUUUCUGCUUUAUGACUGUUUGGGGAGGAUUAAAUGAGACAAUAUAGAUUAAAUAUUGAAUAUAGUAGCUGUAAUAAUAGGAGCUCAAUAAAAGUGUCUUCCUUUCUUUUGUCUUCUUUAAUAGGUGGUAUGAUCACUAUGGAUAUCAAAAUGGGAAGUUACAGUUGCGAUUACUUAAAACAUUCAGAAACAUUAUCUGCUAUGGUGGUUAGCUGUGGAAUAUCCUUUCUCUUUCUCUUUCCAAGGAAAAAAAUUGCAAAAUUGAUUUUUAAGGAACAAGUACCAUGAUCUUCACAAUCAAAUGUUAUCUCUAAUAGAGUUUAAAAAGUAAUGGUGAUGAUUUUUCAGUUUAUUAAAGCUGGAAAAUCAUUAUUCAUGUGCUGUUUAUAGAUGUUAUUUAAUUUUAAUAUCCUAAUAAGAUGCUGUAAUUAAAAAUGGUAUAAGUGAAAUAUGAUUUCUCAUUAAUACAACUUAUUAAUAAAAUAUUUAUAUUCUUAUGGAUCAUAGUAAAAUAUGAACAUUAUGUCAUUUGAUAAUUUUUGUUUAAUUCUUGAUCUGUUAAAUGUUUUUAAGUGUAAGCAAACCUUUUUGCUUGAAGAUGAACAUUCACCUCAGAGUUAAUAUAUGUCUUCCUUUUUCUUUUAAUCAUUGGAUAUAAUAGCUUCAAACAUUUAUAAACAAGAAGGAAAUGAAAUAUUGGAAUUUCAUAAAAUAAAAACAAAAGUUAGAACAUCGACUUAAGUAUAUCAAAAUUGGAAUUAAAGUUAACAGUUCUUGCAAAAUAACAAUAAAAUUCUAAUAUGCAUGGAAUAGCCUACUCCACAUUUUGACUAAAUGUAGAAACAAAAGUUAGUAAAUAUUAUUUUCUUUGUUAAAAUAUUGAGUUAGCUAGAUAUAAACAGAGUAAUUUGGUAAAAAUUAUUUUCUAAAUUCCAGUUUUAUUACAGCUUCUAGUAAGAUCAAGUUAUAAAAGUAAAAAUUAUUAUAUAAUUACAUAUAAAUUACAUAAAAAUUUUAAAAGUUUAAAUCCCCUGUGAUGUUUUUAAUAAAUUUAUUUUAAUAAAGACCAUUUUUAAAUUUAUUUGAAGAUAAAUGAGGAAAAGGCCUAAAAUAGUUUAUGUAAGAGAAAUACUAAUUCUCAAUAAGAAUUAUGCUGAAAGAGAAAAGCUAGAAAAAAAUACAUACUGAAGCACAAAAUAAUACAUAAUGAAUGAUACAUAAAUAUUUAGAAAAUGUAAACUAUUCUGACAGAAAGCAGACCAGUAGUUAACUGGAGCAGAGUAUGUAGGGACAAAUGAAUUGCAAAGAGGAAAAGAAAUUAAUGGGGGUGAUAGUAAUAUUUUGUAACUCUGUUGUGGUGGUUUCAUCAAAAUUUAUUGAAUUGUGUAUUCAUCAAAUUGGCUGCAUUUUGCAGCAAUCAUAUCUCAUCAAAGUUUAUUUAAAGAACAAGAACAAUAGUUUCACUUCUUUAGUUUUGAAGUAAAUAAAGAAAAUAUGAAGGCACUAUUUUUAUUAACCAAUGGAUUAAAAAAUAAAAUGAAACCCAAAAAAUUAACAAUACUGGUAUCAUUGAAAUCUAUGAAGAUGGUGGCAGUAUCAGUUGGUCAGACUUUUGGAUAAGCAAUUUGGUACUGCGUCUCCAGGUUCAUCAAAAAUAUACUUACCCUUUGACAUACCAGUUUUGCUCUUAUGAGAUUGUCAAUAGAAUGAUCCAGAAGGAUAAAGUGACAUGCAAAAAGACUUUCUUUUCUGAGUAGGUUAUUCUAGUAGUUUUGAAUCUUAGUCCAGAUAUUCAGCUGUGCAAAAAAUAUCUUUCCUUUCUCCAAAUCAGUUGAAUCUAUUUUUUACGUAUUUGCUGAGAAGGCAGAAAUUUAACUUGAGUUAUUACUACUGACUUCACCAAAUUGUGCCAAGUUGCUGAAGCCUAACUUAAUACCUAUGAAUCAGGGACACUCAUCAAAUCAUUUGCCAUUAGUUCACACUGGACCCCAUUCCAGCCUGUAGCAUUCAGAGAUCUGCUAUGUUCCUGCCACUCUCUGAGAAAGGCCAUCUUUGGAGGACAUGAGGUACACUCUACCUAGAAGCUAGCCUAUUUGGUGUUCCAGGUAGCAAUUCCUUUGAUGUCUUGCCGUCAUCCAGAGUUAGAGCCAUAGAGCACGGGUUAUGUCUCCCCUACUUCUGUAACCCCUUUAGUCUCUAACUUUUUUCUCCUCCUUUUCCUUAGCCACUAAAGUUCUCCUAACCUCUCUUCCCCUUCCAGAAUAUCUAGCAUAAUCUUUUUAGUGAGCUUGGCUACUUCUUAGAACUUGGGUGUAGAGAUGUGUGUGGUGCAUAAUUAUUACCUCAUAAAUUACUCCACUAAAUUUGUUUUAAUGAGGAGUUUGUAAAUGCAAGGAAUUAAUUAGAAAAGUAUCUAGUGGGUGAAAUAUUAUUGCUAAAAUUGAAGAAUAGAAGCAGAAUACAAAUUUAUAUCUACUAUGAAUAUGAUGUCUUAAGAAUCAUGUAUACUAUUUGUAAUGAUGAGAUAAAUUAUGAGAGUUUUUCUAUCGCCAUAAACUAUGAAGUUGUGUGGGUGUGUGUGUAAUUUCUUAGGAAAAAUGCAUGUGUGUUAUUUAACAUACUAAUGUUUGAGUUGGCCAAUUUAAAUUCAAAGAGUUAAAGAAUACCGAUUGAUCAUAAUUAUGAGGUCAUCCUUAUUAUAUAAGUUAUUCAGGGGAGGAGUGACUGUGAAAAUUUGAAGAAAAGUUAAGAAUUUUUUAGAAGUGUACCAGUACCGGUACCAAAACAGAGAUAUAGGCCAAUGGAAUAGAACAGAGCCCUGAGAAAUAAUGCUGCAUAUCUACAACUAUCUGAUCUUUGACAAACUUGACAAAAACAAGCAAUGGGGAAAGGAUUCCCUAUUUAAUAAAUGGUGCUGGGAAAACUGGCUAGCCAUAGGUAGAAAGCUGAAACUGGAUCCAUUCCUUACACCGUAUACAAAAAUUAAUUCAAGAUGGAUUAAAGACUUAAAUGUUAGACGUAAAACCAUAAAAACCCUAGAAGAAAACCUAGGCAAUACCAUUCAGGACAUAGGCAUGGGCAAGGACUUCAUGUCUAAAACACCAAAAGCAAUGGCAACAAAAGCCAAAAUUGACAAAUGGGAUCUAAUUAAACUAAAGAGCUUCUACACAGCAAAAGAAACCACCAUCAGAGUGAACAGGCAAGUUACAGAAUGGGAGAAAAUUUUUGCAACCUACUCAUCUGACAAAGGGCUAAUACCCAGAAUCUACAAUGAACUCAAACAAGUUUACAAGAAAAAAACAAACAACCCCAUCAAAAAGUGGGCAAAGGACAUGAACAGACACUUCUCAAAAGAAGACAUAUAUGCAGCCAAAAAAUGCAUGAAAAAUUGCUCAUCAUCACUGGCCAUCAGAGAAAUGCAAAUCAAAACCACAAUGAGAUACCAUCUCACACCAUUUAGAAUGGCGAUCAUUAAAAAGUCAGGAAACAACAGGUGCUGGAGAGGAUGUGGAGAAAUAGGAACACUUUUACACUGUUGGUGGGACUGUAAACUAGUUCAACCAUUGUGGAAGUCAGUGUGGCGAUUCAUCAGGAAUCUAGAACUAGAAAUACCAUUUGACCCAGCCAUCCCGUUACUGGGUAUAUACCCAAAGGAUUAUAAAUUAUGCUGCUAUAAAGACACAUGCACACGUAUGUUUAUUGUGGCACUAUUCACAAUAGCAAAGACUUGGAACCAAGCCAAAUGUCCAACAAUGAUAGACUGGAUUAAGAAAAUGUGGCACAUAUACACCAUGGAAUACUAUGCAGCCAUAAAAAAGGAUGAGUUCAUGUCCUUUGUAGGAACAUGGAUGAAGCUGGAAACCAUCAUUCUCAGAAAACUAUCGCAAGGACAAAAAACCAAACACCGCGUGUUCUCACUCAUAGGUGGGAAUUGAACAAUGAGAACAACUUGGACACAGGAAGGGGAACAUCACACACCAGGGACUGUUGUGGGGUGGGAGAAGAGGGGAGGGAAAGCAUUAGGAGAUAUACCUAAUGCUAAAUGACGAGUUAAUGGGUGCAGCACACCAACAUGGCACAUGUGUACCUAUGUAACAAACCUGCACGUUGUGCACAUGUACCCUAAAACUUAAAGUAUAAUAAUAAAAUAAAAAGAAUAAAAAAAAGGAUGAGACCCAUUAUUUUGCUUGCGAGCUAGAUCCAAAUAUGAGUCACUAUCUUAACUGUGGCCAGAUCCACACAUGAAGGUCACAAUUCCUAUUUUGUGUAUUUACUUGUUAGACUCAGGACCUUAAGAGUGGGCUUUUGAAAUACGAAGUGAUAAAAGUAUUUACUUUCACCUGUGUGUGUAAUCGAGAAUUCUAAUCUGAACUUCUUGCUGAUUCUUGUCAUGAAACUCUCUGUACCACCCAAGGAGUUUACACACUAUGAGGUACUGUUGUAAAGUUCUGUGAGCUUGGUACAAAUAUUCAACCCCAGACCUUACCUAUUGCCCUAAGCCUAGCGAUAAAAGGCAAAAUAUUUUUUAUCGGCUGAAUCGCAAUAUAAGAUGGACAAUCAUGCCGGUGAACUGAAGUAAAGUAUAUGUCAUAGUCUUGUUUGUGAGCAAAAACUAGGCAGGGAGUUAACACCACUUAAAUAUUGUGCCAAAAUCAUGUCACAAUGCACUCUUCAGGUAGGGUAUGGGAAUCAGAGUCACAUUAACUGAGUGCUGGACUAGGCAAUAUGAAACCUUCCCAAAUGUGGAAAAAAAGAAAGAAAAAAAAAAGGAAGUAUACCAGUACCACAACCGAGGAAUACAGGGAAUCCUGAGCAAGCGGUAUUAUGAGGAGGCUGCUGGAGACUCGGUACUCUUGGAAAGGAUGUUGUGGACGGAAUGUAUUUCCCCAAAACCUCAUAUGUGGAAAUCGGAUUCUCAGUGUGAUGAUAUUUGGAGGUGGGGCCUUUAAGAGGUAAUUAGGUCAUGAAGAAAUGAACUCUCAUGAAUGGGAUUAGUGCCCUCAUAAAAGAGGCUCCAGAAUGCUUCCUUGUCCCAUCUGCCUUGUGAGGAUACAAGAAGGUAGCCAUUUAUGAACAAGGAAGCAGGCCCUCACCAAAUACCGAAUAUGCCAGUGCCUCGAUCUUGUGCUUCUCAGCCUCCCGAACUGUGAAAUACACAUUUUUGUUGUUUAUAAGCCACCCAGCCUAUGAUAUUUUUAUUAUAGCUAAAACAGACUACCAUAAAGGGUGAUUUGAAAAAUAAAGUGUGAAUUAUGUCUUUGAUUCUUUAAA